AAAAUCUUUCAUUAGUGCAAAAAGCAAUGUUUUGAUAUUAGGCAGGGAAUCUAAAGUGCAAUUAUACAUGGAAAGGGUCUGCAAAGCAUAUUUUGGUCUCAAAGAGUACUCUAUUCUGUCAAAAUUUUUAUACCAAAAUUCGACAUCACAAAGUAAUUUAUCAUACGAUCCUGAUAAUUCAUAAAACUCUGAGAUCUUCUUAAUAUCCUCUCGCAUUUCAAGUGUAUUUAGACUCAACCGGCAAAAGAAAAUAAAAGCUGUUUAAAAUAAAAUUGUGACUAAUAAAUCUUUCAUUUAAUUGAAAUAAAAAUGUAUCAAUAAGGGGAGAAUCCUCAAUCGUAGAUGCAUCAAUAUUUAAGCGAUUGGACUAUCUAGAAACUACUAUAGUAACAGGCUGGUAUGAAGGCAAAAUGGGGGAAAAUUCGUUUUUUAAAAGAAUCAGUUCCUUUUCUAGGAUUUGCAAUAGAUGAAAAUGGCAUCCACACAGAGAAGGAAAAAAUAGAUGCUAUUCGAAGGAUACCAACACCUAAGAAUAUACACCAAUUGAGAUAUUUUUAGGACUUGAACGUUAUUUGCACAUUCGAUUUCAUCAUUAUGGUAAUAUAGGUAUUUGGAAUCAAGCUAAAUAUACCUCUUAAAAAUUACUCGUCAUAUUUUUUUACAAUAUUUUAGAUC